rnacentral:snoRNA from 1 species
GCAUGGUAAUGGAUUUAUGGUGGGCCCAUCUAUGUGGGUGUUUCAUGGUGUACCCAUCCCAGAGUAAGUGGCCUCUAACCAUUGCCCAGCCUCACUGGCUGUGGACUGUGAGCACUGUAGAAAAAUCAGGA